AGGUGGGAACUCUAAGUGAACUGCCUACGCAAGUAGAGAGGAAGGUGGGGAUGACGUCAAAUCAGCACGGCCCUUAUGUUCGGGGCUACACACGUGCUACAAUGGUCGGUACAGAGGGCCGCUACCCCGCGAGGGGAUGCCAAUCUCCAAAGCCGAUCUCAGUUCGGAUCGGAGUCUGUAACUCGACUCCGUGAAGUUGGAUUCGCUAGUAAUCGCACAUCAGCCAUGGUGCGGUGAAUACGUUCCCGGGCCUUGUACACACCGCCCGUCAAGCCAUGGAAGCCUGUGGUACCUAAAGUCCGUGCCCGAAAGGAGCGGCCUAGGGUAAAACCGGUAACUGGGGCUAAGUCGUAACAAGGUAGCCGUACCGGAAGGUGUGGCUGGAAUACCUCCUUU
rnacentral:rRNA from 1 species